AGUGAACGCUGGCGGUAGGCCUAACACAUGCAAGUCGAACGGCAGCACGGUAAGAGCUUGCUCUUACGGGUGGCGAGUGGCGGACGGGUGAGGAAUACAUCGGAAUCUACUUUUUCGUGGGGGAUAACGUAGGGAAACUUACGCUAAUACCGCAUACGACCUACGGGUGGAAGCAGGGGAUCUUCGGACCUUGGGCGAUUGAAUGAGCCGAUGUCGGAUUAGCUAGUUGGCGGGGUAAAGGCCCACCAAGGCGACGAUCCGUAGCUGGUCUGAGAGGAUGAUCAGCCACACUGGAACUGAGACACGGUCCAGACUCCUACGGGAGGCAGCAGUGGGGAAUAUUGGGCAAUGGGCGCAAGCCUGAUCCAGCCAUGCCGCGUGGGUGAAGAAGGCCUUCGGGUUGUAAAGCCCUUUUGCUGGGAAAGAAAAGCAGCAGGUUAAUACCCCGCUGUUCUGACGGUACCCAAAGAAUAAGCACCGGCUAACUUCGUG
rnacentral:rRNA from 1 species